rnacentral:rRNA from 1 species
UACGAAGGGGGCUAGCGUUGCUCGGAAUGACUGGGCGUAAAGGGCGCGUAGGCGGUUCGUACAGUCAGGCGUGAAAUUCCCGGGCUUAACCUGGGGGCUGCGUUUGAUACGUGCGGGCUUGAGUUCGGAAGAGGGUCGUGGAAUUCCCAGUGUAGAGGUGAAAUUCGUAGAUAUUGGGAAGAACACCAGUGGCGAAGGCGGCUUCCUGGUCUGCGACUGACGCUGUGGCGCGAAAGCUAGGGGAGCAAACGGG